rnacentral:misc_RNA from 1 species
AAGUCGUAACAAGGUUUCCGUAGGUGAACCUGCGGAAGGAUCAUUAACACGUAUCCAAACGUUAAAACCCCCCCCGUGAACCUUCAUCCUGCUCUUGUAACCCGCGUAGUUCGCAAUCUCUGAUAAAUCAUAGCCCGGAAAGUUGUAGUGAUUCAGAGACCUCUGGCUACGUGCGAACAUUGGAACAGUUACAAUCGAGCGGUAGUUCUAUAGGCAAUGUUUCCCCAAGCAGUCAGUGUCGGGCAGGAGCUUUGCCAAAGGGUCCCCAUGCCCCCUAAUAACCCCACAGUUUAAUGUGAAGCUCAAUGUAAUACAUUGGGUAAAAAAACCGAACAACUGUUAACAAUGGAUAUCUUGGUUCUC